AGUUUGAUCAUGGCUCAGGACGAACGCUGGCGGCGUGCCUUACCCAUGCAAGUCGAACGGCUUGGUUUUCGGACCGAGCAGUGGCAGACGGCUGAGUAACACGUGAGGACCUGUCCAGUUGAGGGGGAUAGCCGCCCGAAAGGGCGGGUAAUACCGCGUGAGCUUGAGGGGUAACCCACAAGGAAAGCGAGAAAUCGCGCGACUGGAGGGACUCGCGGCCCAUCAGGUAGUAGGUGGGGUGAAGGCCCACCUAGCCGAUGACGGGUAGCUGGUCUGAGAGGAUGGCCAGCCAGACUGGGACUGAGAGACGGCCCAGACUCCUACGGGGGGCAGCAGGGGGGGAUCUUGGUCAAUGGGGGAAACCCUGAACCAGCGACGCCGCGUGAGGGAAGACGGCCCUUGGGUUGUAAACCUCUUUUGCCAGGGAAGAUGAUGACGGUACCUGGCGAAUAAGCCCCGGCUAACUACGUGCCAGCAGCCGCGGUAAUACGUAGGGGGCGAGCGUUGUCCGGAUUUAUUGGGCGUAAAGAGCGCGUAGGCGGUUAUGAGAGUCGGCUGUGAAAUCUCUGGGCCCAACCCAGAGAGGUCGGCCGAGACCUUGUGACUAGAGGGUGGUAGAGGAAGGUGGAAUUCCGGGUGUAGUGGUGAAAUGCGUAGAUAUCCGGAGGAACACCAGUGGCGAAGGCGGCCUUCUGGGCCACCCCUGACGCUGAGGCGCGAAAGCGUGGGGAGCGAACCGAAUUAGAUACUCGGG
rnacentral:rRNA from 1 species